CCCAAAAAAAAAAAACCUAAAUAUAUGUGGAUUUCUUAACAAUGAAAUAGACUUCCAGAAAAUAUUGGUAUAGUUCCUCAGCUGGAUACUGCUGCCAAUCACCCAUUUAUUCACCUCACAGUAUACCGGUGUGACGCCGCAAUAUGGCAACCGAGAUUGGUGGGGUCAUGCCAGCUAUGUGGUGAUAUAUCGGAAGAUCUCCAUCGUUUUUCUUGUCAGUUUAUGCCGAC
rnacentral:lncRNA from 1 species